UACGAAGGGGGCUAGCGUUGUUCGGAAUUACUGGGCGUAAAGGGCGCGUAGGCGGCGCAUCAAGUCAGGCGUGAAAGCCCCGGGCUCAACCUGGGAACCGCGCUUGAGACUGGUGGGCUCGAGUUCGGGAGAGGAUGGUGGAAUUCCCAGUGUAGAGGUGAAAUUCGUAGAUAUUGGGAAGAACACCGAUGGCGAAGGCAGCCAUCUGGACCGACACUGACGCUGAGGCG
rnacentral:rRNA from 1 species